UGCCCGGCCAGCAGGAGCGCGCCCGCGUGAGUGGUGCUGAAGCCCAGCACGGAGUGGAAAUACACGAGCAAAUCUGCAAAGGAGAGACAGAAUUAUGAGGAGGAAGUAGUGGAUCAAUGGAAAAGCAGCAGGAUGCGAAAUCUUUGAAUGUACAGGACUCACAGCCUGGUUGCUCACACUCCUGCACCCUUAGCCUUAUUUGUAUUAUUUCCGUGUCUUCUAUAGGAUCAGAAACUUUUAAAAAGAAAGCGGGCGGCAUGCCAUACCUUGGCCAUGAGAGCAGGGAACCAAGCUGAGUCCCCAAAGCAGCACCAUCCCAGCAAAAGCCUCCAUCUCGUUUUGCCUGCCUGGCAUCGCAGCACGGUGUUCUCUUAGGCACAUCUGUCGAUAUUUUGUGGGGAGGAAGGUGAGAAGCCGGACCUUAUUUUCCUUGCAACUUCGACUGUGGACUUGGAAUCAAAGGGCACUUGCUAAUGCCUCUGGGAAAGCGUUCUUACCUGCCCAUGGCCAGGUGCCUCUGCCUCUUCAUGAGACUGCACUGCAGCAGCUCCCUGAACUCAACUCUCGCUGAGAAUUCCCAGCAUUAAUUCAACAACCCAUUUCUGGAAUCAAAGCAGAAAAUGAUGCUUUCUCAGACUAUGAAAAAUGUUGUAAGAUUAAUUGCUUCCAGGCUGGGUAAGUCUUUUUGGUAUGGUGCAUUUGGUGCAGUAGACACUAAAUAAGAAAUGUGGAGUUUUAAAUGUGAUGACUCUGUUGCAAUGGAGAUUAUGAAUAGGAAUUCUUGCGUUGAUGGGAUUAAGAUAAUAUGCAGAAAAAGGAGGAAACAGGUUUAGUAAACAGUCUGGACAACAACGUGAUUAAAUCAGAGAGAGCCAGAAGUCCAUCAAGACUGGGUUACUAGUUCUAACUUGAAAUAAAAUAUCUAACUGGGACACUGCACAAGAAAACAAGAGGAAUAUCACAAUGUCACCCAGAGAGGGACUCAUUCCAAGACCCCUUCCUGAGUUCAUAAUGAAAUAUGGAUACUUUGAAGUAUGAAAAAUCACAGAUCAAACAUGGGAAAUACAGAGAAUACUCAAACACACAUCAAAGAACACACUGCCUUGGCACAGGUACCUUUCGAUGGCUUUGUGCCACCCAGGAAAGAUGCUGCAACCAAAUCACAGAGAAGCCAACUCCAGGCUAACAAGACACCGCACGGUAGAUGCAGAUCCUUGGAACACGGCUUGCUGGUUGAAUGACAGGACAAAUAUAUACCCUGUGUGCAUGGAGGAAAUCAGGGCUUUUCCUCUCCUGUCCCUUCCCAAGCCAGAGUUUCUGAAUUUUAAAAGAAAUGUAUGCAAUAGAUACACUGCCUUACAAUUGCACAACUGACACUAGACUGCUCUUUGUUUCUGCUUCUGUUGGCUUUGCUAUAAUAAAGAGAUUCUUUGCACUGUG